rnacentral:rRNA from 1 species
UAAGCAUAUCAAUAAGCGGAGGAAAAGAAACCAACAGGGAUUGCCUUAGUAACGGCGAGUGAAGCGGCAAAAGCUCAGAUUUGAAAUCUCUUUUAAUUAUUUAGAAGCGAAUUGUAAUCUGUAGAAGGUUGAAUGGCUGAAUGACUGAUUUAAGUUUCCUGGAAUAGAACAUCAUAGAGGGUGAGAAUCCCGUGAUUAUCAGUAGCUACGCCAAUUAAUUCACCUUUCGACGAGUCGAGUUGUUUGGGAAUGCAGCUCUAAAUGGGUGGUAAAUUUCAUCUAAAGCUAAAUAUCUGCCAGAGACCGAUAGCGAACAAGUAGAGUGAUCGAAAGAUGAAAAGCACUUUGAAAAGAGAGUUAAAUAGUACGUGAAAUUGUUGAAAGGGAAGCGCUUGCGAUUAGACUUGAUAGUUGAUUUCAGCUUACUCAUGGGUGAGUGUAUUUAUUAAUUAUCAGGCCAGCAUCAGUUUGGAGAGGUUCAUAAAGGUAGUUGGAAUGUAGCAACCGCUUCGGUGGUUGUGUUAUAGACUUCUGCAUCAUGUAUCUCCUCUAGACUGAGGUCUGCCCUUCGGGAAGGAUGCUGGCAUAAUGAUCGUAAGCGGCCCGUCUUGAA